rnacentral:rRNA from 1 species
AGAGUUUGAUCAUGGCUCAGAUUGAACGCUGGCGGCAGGCUUAACACAUGCAAGUCGAGCGGUAACAGGAAGGAGCUUGCUUCUUUGCUGACGAGCGGCGGACGGGUGAGUAAUGCCUGGGAAUCUGCCUGAUAGUGGGGGAUAACUUGCCGAAAGGUAAGCUAAUACCGCGUACGUCCUACGGGAGAAAGCAGGGGAUCUUCGGACCUUGCGCUAUCAGAUGAGCCCAGGCCGGAUUAGCUAGUUGGUGGGGUAAUGGCCCACCAAGGCGACGAUCCGUAGCUGGUCUGAGAGGAUGAUCAGCCACACCGGGACUGAGACACGGCCCGGACUCCUACGGGAGGCAGCAGUGGGGAAUAUUGGACAAUGGGGGGAACCCUGAUCCAGCCAUGCCGCGUGUGUGAAGAAGGUCUUCGGAUUGUAAAGCACUUUAAGUUGGGAGGAAGGGCUUUAGGUUAAUACCCUGAAGUUUUGACGUUACCAACAGAAUAAGCACCGGCUAACUUCGUGCCAGCAGCCGCGGUAAUACGAAGGGUGCAAGCGUUAAUCGGAAUUACUGGGCGUAAAGCGCGCGUAGGUGGUUUGUUAAGUUGGAAGUGAAAGCCCCGGGCUCAACCUGGGAAUUGCUUUCAAAACUGGCGAGCUAGAGUACGGUAGAGGGUAGUGGAAUUUCCUGUGUAGCGGUGAAAUGCGUAGAUAUAGGAAGGAACAUCAGUGGCGAAGGCGACUACCUGGACUGAUACUGACACUGAGGUGCGAAAGCGUGGGGAGCAAACAGGAUUAGAUACCCUGUAGUCCACGCCGUAAACGAUGUCAACUAGUUGUUGGGGGCCUUGUGUCCUUAGUAACGCAGCUAACGCAUUAAGUUGACCGCCUGGGGAGUACGGCCGCAAGGUUAAAACUCAAAUGAAUUGACGG